rnacentral:rRNA from 1 species
AGCGAACGCUGGCGGCAGGCUUAACACAUGCAAGUCGAGCGGGCAUCCUUGUGGUGUCCGCGGCAGACGGGUGAGUAACGCGUGGGAACGUGCCCUUCGGUUCGGAAUAACUCAGGGAAACUUGAGCUAAUACCGGAUACGCCCUUUUGGGGAAAGGUUUACUGCCGAAGGAUCGGCCCGCGUCUGAGUAGCUAGUUGGUGAGGUUAUGGCUCACCAAGGCGACGAUCAGGAGCUGGUCUGAGAGGAUGCUCAGCCACACUUGGACUGAGACACGGCCCAGACUCCUACGGGAGGGAGCAGUGGGGUAUAUUGGACAAUGGGGGCAACCCUGAUCCAGCCAUGCCGCGUGAGUGAUGACGGCCUUAGGGUUGUAAAGCUCUUUUCUCCGGGACGAUAAUGACGGUACCGGAGGAAUAAGCCCCGGCUAACUUCGUG